AGCGAACGCUGGCGGCAGGCCUAACACAUGCAAGUCGAACGAACUCUUCGGAGUUAGUGGCGGACGGGUGAGUAACACGUGGGAACGUGCCUUUUGGUUCGGAAUAACUCAGGGAAACUUGUGCUAAUACCGAAUGUGCCCUUCGGGGGAAAGAUUCAUCGCCAUUAGAGCGGCCCGCGUCUGAUUAGCUAGUUGGUGAGGUAACGGCUCACCAAGGCGACGAUCAGUAGCUGGUCUGAGAGGAUGACCAGCCACACUGGGACUGAGACACGGCCCAGACUCCUACGGGAGGCAGCAGUGGGGAAUCUUGCGCAAUGGGCGAAAGCCUGACGCAGCCAUGCCGCGUGAAUGAUGAAGGUCUUAGGAUUGUAAAAUUCUUUCACCGGGGACGAUAAUGACGGUACCCGGAGAAGAAGCCCCGGCUAACUUCGUG
rnacentral:rRNA from 1 species